AAUGAACGCUGGCGGCGCGCCUAAUACAUGCAAGUCGAGCGAGAAGACGUAGCAAUACGUUUGUAAAGCGGCGAACGGGUGAGGAAUACAUGGGUAACCUACCCUCGAGUGGGGAAUAACUAGCCGAAAGGUUAGCUAAUACCGCGUACGCUUCUUGGACUUCGGUUCAGGGAGGAAAGCGAUGCCGAGGGUAUCGCGCUCUUGGAUGGGCUCAUGUCCUAUCAGCUUGUUGGGAGGUAACGGCUCACCAAGGCUUCGACGGGUAGCUGGUCUGAGAGGACGAUCAGCCACACUGGCACUGCGACACGGGCCAGACUCCUACGGGAGGCAGCAGUAAGGAAUAUUGCGCAAUGGGCGAAAGCCUGACGCAGCGACGCCGCGUGGGGGAGUGAAGGUC
rnacentral:rRNA from 1 species